rfam:Dracunculus medinensis genome assembly, scaffold: DME_contig0000075
AUCGCUUCUCGGCCUAUUGGCUAAGAUCAAAGUGUAGUAUCUGUUCUUAUCAGCUUAAUCUCUGAUAUGUGGUCUAUUGAUCACUUUGAGAUUAUUCUAUUUUUGGGACCAUAGAUGGUUUGAUGGGGCUUGCUCCGCACCAUCUGCGGGUUGGCCCGGUAUUGCACUUGCAUCCGGGAGCGGCCCUACCACC